UACAGAGGUCUCAAGCGUUGUUCGGAUUCAUUGGGCGUAAAGGGUGCGUAGGCGGCGCGGUAAGUCGGGUGUGAAAUCUCGGAGCUUAACUCCGAAACUGCAUUCGAUACUGCCGUGCUUGAGGACUGGAGAGGAGACUGGAAAUUUACGGUGUAGCGGUGAAAUGCGUAGAUAUCGUAAGGAAGACCCAGUGGCGAAGGCGGGUCUCCUGGACAGUUCCUGACGCUGGAGGCACGAAGGUCAGGGGGGAGCAAACGGG
rnacentral:rRNA from 1 species